rnacentral:rRNA from 1 species
CCUACGGGGGGCUGCAGUGGGGAAUAUUGGACAAUGGGGGGAACCCUGAUCCAGCCAUGCCGCGUGUGUGAAGAAGGCCCUCGGGUUGUAAAGCACUUUCAGUGAGGAAGAACGCCUGGUGGUUAAUACCCAUCAGGAAAGACAUCACUCACAGAAGAAGCACCGGCUAACUCCGUGCCAGCAGCCGCGGUAAUACGGAGGGUGCGAGCGUUAAUCGGAAUUACUGGGCGUAAAGCGCGCGUAGGUGGCUUGAUAAGCCGGUUGUGAAAGCCCCGGGCUCAACCUGGGAACGGCAUCCGGAACUGUCAAGCUAGAGUGCAGGAGAGGGAGGUAGAAUUCCCGGUGUAGCGGUGAAAUGCGUAGAGAUCGGGAGGAAUACCAGUGGCGAAGGCGGCCUUCUGGACUGACACUGACACUGAGGUGCGAAAGCGUGGGUAGCAAACAGGAUUAGAUACCCGGGUAGUC